rnacentral:rRNA from 1 species
GUGCAGCAGUCGAGAAACCUUCGCAAUGCGGGAAACCGCGACGAGGGGACUCCCAGUGCCUACGCUCAGCGUAGGCUGUUCCCGAGCCUAGAGAGCUCGGGGAGUAAGGGCUGGGUAAGACGGGUGCCAGCCGCCGCGGUAAUACCCGCAGCCCGAGUGGUGGCCACUAUUAUUGGGCCUAAAGCGUCCGUAGCCGGCCCGGUAAAUGCCUGGGUAAAUCGUGAGGCCUAACCUCACGAAUUCCGGGUAGACUGCCGGGCUAGGGGACCGGAGGAGGGAGAGGGGUACUCCAGGGGUAGGGGUGAAAUCCUGUAAUCCCUGGAGGACCACCGGUGGCGAAGGCGCUCUCCUAGGACGGGUCCGACGGUGAGGGACGAAAGCCAGGGGAGCGAACCGGAUUAGAUACCCCC